rnacentral:rRNA from 1 species
UAGCUACUUUCAGAUCUGUAAUGCAGUCGACGAUGAUGGGAGCUUGCUCCUGGAUUAGUGGCGAACGGGUGAGUAACACGUGAGUAACCUGCCCUUAACUCUGGGAUAAGCCUGGGAAACUGGGUCUAAUACCGGAUAUGACUCCUCAUCGCAUGGUGGGGGGUGGAAAGCUUUUUGUGGUUUUGGAUGGACUCGCGGCCUAUCAGCUUGUUGGUGAGGUAAUGGCUUACCAAGGCGACGACGGGUAGCCGGCCUGAGAGGGUGACCGGCCACACUGGGACUGAGACACGGCCCAGACUCCUACGGGAGGCAGCAGUGGGGAAUAUUGCACAAUGGGCGCAAGCCUGAUGCAGCGACGCCGCGUGAGGGAUGACGGCCUUCGGGUUGUAAACCUCUUUCAGUAGGGAAGAAGCGAAAGUGACGGUACCUGCAGAAGAAGCGCCGGCUAACUACGUGCCAGCAGCCGCGGUAAUACGUAGGGCGCAAGCGUUAUCCGGAAUUAUUGGGCGUAAAGAGCUCGUAGGCGGUUUGUCGCGUCUGCCGUGAAAGUCCGGGGCUCAACUCCGGAUCUGCGGUGGGUACGGGCAGACUAGAGUGAUGUAGGGGAGACUGGAAUUCCUGGUGUAGCGGUGAAAUGCGCAGAUAUCAAGAGGAACACCGAUGGCGAAGGCAGGUCUCUGGGCAUUAACUGACGCUGAGGAGCGAAAGCAUGGGGAGCGAACAGGAUUAGAUACCCUGGUAGUCCAUGCCGUAAACGUUGGGCACUAGGUGUGGGGGACAUUCCACGUUUUCCGCGCCGU